GCACAGCAGGGGGAGAAAACAGUGAAGGGAAGGGGAGAACUGUAAAAGAACUGCUACACCUCCAAAUUAAAUUUGUGAUGCCAGGCAUCAGAUGGGCCCACAGCCAGAGAUUAAUUCGCCUGAUCAAGUUAUAAAGAGCGCUGAAGCUGGUCUGCAAGGAGAAAUGCUAGGAAAUGACUUUACACACCUCUUGAUUCCCAGUCUGGGUCUUAUUAUUAUGUGCUGAACAAUAAAUACUCCUGCUGCCAUUAAUAGAUGCUGCACAACUUCAACCUCUUGCACAGUUAUUAUAUGUUUUAAAAGCCUAAUAUAAUAACCAUGGAUCUAAAGGAAUUCAUUAAUCAGUCAUGCAACAUCAGCUGAACAUGAGUCAAAUGUGUGAUGGAGCUGCAACCCCCCGCCCAAAAAAACCCUUAUGAGAUUUUUGUCUGCAUUAAUAGAAUCAUAGUUUCCAAGUCACUAUAAGUAGUAGUUCCUCUUUAUUCUGCACUAGUUGACCCUCAUCUAGAGAACUGUGUCCAGUUUUGGACGCUGCAGUUUAAGAAGGAUGUAGACAAAUUCAAGGGGUUCAGAGGAGGGUAAUGUGUUUUUGCUUAACCAAUUCAUUGAUCCGGGCCAGCUUUUGAAUGGUGCUUUAGUUACUUUUAUUCCAAUCCUGGAUUAGAGGUGGGGCUAACAAACAGCCAGCAGCAAGACCAUUGAAGGAAGACUGCACUUGCUUCUCUGUAAAUAAUUUCUAUCUCAUUAAACUGUUAAUAUUUCCUAUUCAA